GGUUAAGUUAUUAAGGGCUUACGGUGGAUGCCUUGGGACCAAGGGCCGAUGAAGGGCGCGGUAAGGCUGUGAUAAGCCUCGAUGAGCCGUCUAACAGGCAUAGUCGGGGGUGCCCGAAUGGGGUAACCUGUUCCGGUGUUGAGCCGGUUCAUCCUUCCCGUAAGGGAAGGAGGGUAAGCGGGGGAACUGAAACAUCUAAGUACCCCGAGGAAAAUAAAUCAACCGAGAUUCCCUGAGUAGUGGCGAA
rnacentral:rRNA from 1 species